CCUUAGCUAUAAUAACAAAACCUUACUGCACUAUCAGUGGUAGAAGAUGAUUUAAGGCCCACAGCAUAAAGGUUUUAAAUAAUUGGCCUUAAUUUCCUAUUUAUAUCCACAAUGAUCCUUCUUACUUAAGACACGUAAGAAAAAUAUUUUAAGUAAUCCCAGAAGAAAGGUCCUAGUUGCCUGAUCAAUGGGGGUAAUUGGUGAAUAUAUGCUUUUCAUUCUAAAUUGGGAUUUGGGGUGCAAGAGUUUGCUACCCAAAGAUUGUAUCCUGGGAGGGAAGAAAGCACCAACACCAAUAGUCUUACAACUUUUUCCAUCCAUUUUCUUUACUUAUUUCUUCUUGUUUGUAUCAUUUCAUAACGUUAACCAAACCAAGAUUCUCUGUCUUCUUGGAACUGAGAAGGGGUUAAUACAUUGCCCUUUACUUGAUACUGUCACAAAAAACGAAUGGCCGAAAGCAAAAAGAUUAUACACCAACGCCAUCAAGCAUAUGAUUUUGCCACAUGUACGAUGAACAUCCAAUCUUCCUUUCCUCACCCUCAAUCAUAAAUAGCGGUCCAUUGCUCAACCUGGGAUGUACUUGGGACUUGCGUAAUCAAAUUCAUAGUAAAAGCUUCUCUCAUUUCUCGAUCGUCUGCUUCACAAAAUGUCUUGCUGUGGAGAUUGCUGCGGUGGUGGCUCCAUUGGGUAUCCUGACUUGGGAUACUUAGAAAAGACCACCACUGAGACCUUUGUCUCCGGAGUUGCCACAAUGAAAAUGUCGUAUGAGGGGCCCGAGGAAAGGUUUGGAGCUGAGAACGAGUGCAAACAGUGCGGAUUCUCAAACUGCAGCUGCAAAUGAAAAAGAGGAAAAGGUCCAUAUGUAUAUGUAUCUUAAUAUAUAAUAAGACAGCCAUUGCUUUGGCAGAACCUUUUCCAGGGUUUUGCUGCUGUGUUUUAAUGGCUAGAAUUUGGUCUUGUUAAUUGCUGUCAGUGGUUGCUGUUUUGUCAUUGUCGAGUCUUGGUCUUGUGCACGUUUAGAAGCCCGAGAGGGGAGCUUGGGUUUUAUGGAAUGUAACAUUUCAAUGCUUUUCCUUUCA